CUGAAACAAAAAAGAAACUCCAUGAACUUCAAAGAAAGUUCAGACAAGUGCUGGAUGAAAACCUGAGCUUACCAAAGCAUGUUUGCCUCAAACCAGAGGAGUUGCAGAUAAAUCAUGGUUUUAAUGAACAAGCAGAGCAUUUAAAGGCCCAGCGAGUCUCAGAAGUCAGGAGGGAGUUGACCUGGGAGGAGGAACGUUGCUGCAUAGAACUCAGAAAACAACCGGACUGGAACCAUCUGGAAAUCAAUGUUGUCACCGUGGUUGCUAUUCACAGCAGCCACAGAGUGUCCACCUACCCUCUCCCAUCAGUGGCCAAGCCUCUACCUGAGGCCAUGAAUCAAUGUCCUCCCACUCAGGCUAAUGAGAUAAGAGACACUGCACCAUCAGGAAAAAAAACCUUCAAUCAUACUUCAAAAAACAGCAACAACCAUGAGGAUACAGAUGUGCCGCCAGUGGUGCCAAGAGCAAAGAUUAAAUUGGGAGAUCGGCAGGAGGAGAGACUCCAGAAAGCUGCAGAGAAAGCCCAACAAGCUGG
rnacentral:lncRNA from 1 species